AUCACUGGUGUACCGAUGUCUACUUGGUAUGGCGCAAACCAAACCGCAACGCCGCCGCCUUCCUACACAACUUACGCAACGACCAGUUUCUGCAUCGAGGUCUUCAAGUACUACACCACUAAAGCACCGGUGUUUUAUACCACAACUAACGCUGCCCGAGCCACUACACUGACGCCCUGAAGUAUUGCACUGCCCCGAGUUACUACACCACCAAGGCGACCGAUUACUACAUGACAACGCAUGCUGCCUGGAGUUACUACACCACCAAGGCGAUGGAGUACUACAUGAUUACGUAUGCUGCCCCAUCCUACUACACCGAGGCUCCUAAUUGCUACACCGAGGCUCCCGCUUAUAACUCCACCAAAACGGUCGAGUACUACACCGAAGCGCCAAAGUACUUCUCUGCCCCGAUCUACACAACCACAACUGAGGCGGCCAAGUAUUACGCAGCCCCGACUUGCUAAACAGAAGAUGCUCUUUCGUGAUACGUUGAUCUAAAACACUACACUGAUGAGCACUCCAGUUUACUACACCAAGACCUACGCUACACCUAGCUACAACAGCGCAGCCCCCAAGUACUACACCGAAGAAGCCGCCUAUUACACAACCACGUACGCUGCCUGGUAUACUACAUCGGAAUUUAAGUAUUACCCUGCUCCAAACUACUACAAAACUGAGGUUCAUAUGUAUUACACCAGCAAUUCUCCCGACUAUGUCCCCACUACUUAUGUUGCUCCGACCUGUACACCAAAGUUCUGAAGUAUUUCUCUGGAUGUGUUGAAAGAUUGCUGAAAUACAAGAUUGAUCGAUAAAUCACAA